AAGGAGAGAGAAGAUAGCAAGGGAGGUGAGAACGAAUCAUUCGCAGUGGUGAGCAUGAUGGUAGCUGUGCCUCCCCCAUGCCCCCAUCCCAGCAAUGCCACACAGCCAUGGGGCCUGGGAAUUCCCAGGAGGAUGCAGCAAUGCGUAGUUGGUGAGAUUUCUCUGCUUACACAGCGUGGGGAUUACCAUGUGGAGUAGGGGGCAUCUCUAGAUCAUGGGGAGGGAUCAGCAGCGAGCAGCAUCUGCAGGCCACUGUGAUAUUUGCAAUUGUGGGUGUCUCUGGAUUAGCUAGGAGGAACAGUCCGGAGGGGCUGGCUGGGUUAUAAGGCCUUUGGUGGGUGGGUGUUUUAUUUAAAAUUUCCUGGAAAUUUAUUAGUUUUUAUUAUAAAAAUGACAAAGAAUGGGGGUACGGGUGCAAGAACUGACCGUUGCCGUUUGCUGGAUAAAUCUCGGGGUACGGAUCGCUCUCUUCUGCUGCUUUUGGCUUUGGAAGCUGUCAGAAAACCCCUCAUGUUCGGAAACACAGUCAGCUACCACUUUCCCUUUUCAACCCACUUCAGCAUGAAAAGCAGCUGCCCAACUUUGAUUUGCUUUCAACGCUGACAACUCUUGUAAGAGGGCACAGCAGGGCCCCCCCUUGGUCCUGCCUCUGCUCCAAAAACCACUCCCAGAGCCUCAGGUUCAGCAGUCACCAGUGCAGUUUAUUUACAGGGUGCAAGCCCACCCCCUUCUCACCAUAUACAGCCUGGGGGCUUCAGGCCGAAGGACUUCCCAGCCUCUGCAGCCAGGAGAGGAGCUCCCAGUCUCCAGCUUCCCCUCUUCUGUCUGGCCUUUCGGGAGCCCCAGGCUAAUCAGGCUGGGAGCUGUUUCAGGCACAGGUUUCUCUAGCCAGCUCCGAUUUACCUCCCGGAACUGGAACUGGUGUGGCACAGGGCUGGCUCAGCAGUUCGUACCCAGCACCUUGUCACACACCUCCCCCCCUUACCUAACUGCCAGGUUCGUCCUUCCCCAUCCCCUCUACCGGAUUGGGCACUCCAGGGGAGAUCUCCUUCUACCUUCGGGUGACCUCCCGGGGUCCUCCUUGUGGGAUUCAUUUACCCCCUACCCGCAGAAAUUACACUGUGUGGGGGGUGGAUACCCCCAUAGGUCCACUGCAACCCACAGGUCCUCACACCAUUCACACCCCCGGGUGUGUUCCCCAUCCUUUUCCCCCUUCCGUUCCGGCAGGGGUUCGGGGUUUGGUCCCUACUUCCCCCUGGACACCCAGGGCCUCAGGUUUCUCAAACCCACAAGCAGGGACCUGGGUCUCUUCUCCUGGGGGUCGCCUUGUAGAGAGCUCCGGUGGGCCUUUCUCCUCUGCUAAGGGUCUUGGGCGGGAUGUCUCCCCCAUCCCUCCUUCCUCACUUCCUUCCCGACUCGGGCUCUGUUGUCUAGGGCUUUUCACUGCAAUUUCCUGAGGGGACUGGUCUCCCUCUCUACUGGAGCUUUGUGGUUUAGGUGGUUCCACCUCCUUCUUCGGGGGACCUCCCCUUUUCCCCACCGUAGUCUUCCUCCCACCACCUCCUUUCCCUCCUGGGAAUGGGUCCCAGUCCAUGACCAACACCAGUGGAUAAGGCAGCCUCUCCACUACCCCGACCCGUCUCCACUGGAACCUGCCCCAGACCUCAAGGGGCACCUGGGACACAGGGACUGUCUCUCAUCCCCCUGGACACAUUCAAGGUUCAUCUUGGCUCCAGGAACCAUCCAGUGUGGCUUUACCAGCCCUCUCUGGAUAAGAAACCAGGCAGAGGCCGUAUCUACCAGGCCCCUCUGGGGUUUCCUCCCCACCAUCACCGGAACGAUGGACAAUCUCUGCCCUUUCCCCUGCCUUCCAGCGUUAGCCCAGCUGCAAAACUCAGCACAGCCACACUCCAAGUACAGGCUGUCCCCCUUGUUAUGUCCCUAGCCUCUGUCUAUCAGAGGGUGGAGAUGGAUGGCAGGAGAGAGAUCACUUGAACCUGUUAGGUUCACUCCCUCUGGGGCACCUGGCAUUGGCCACUGUCAGAGGACAGGAUACUGGGCUGGAUGGACCUUUGGUCAGACCCAGUACGGACGUUCGUAUGUUCUUAAAUGGUCAGGCCCCAGGGGGAGCUCCUUGGGUGCCUUCCCUUUUCCUCUCUGGGCUUUCUCCCAGACUCCAAGUCUUUAUAUGGUCGUCCCUCUUUCCUGGGGAAAUUGGCCUGCGCAUACUCCUCAGUCAGCUUCAUGGCCCCGGCACCAUACUCGGUUGAUGCCACGUAACCCAUACUCGUAUGCUGUCGGGGAGGCCCUGUAGGAACCGUUCUAGGACCAACGCGUCCAUAAUCCCCCCCACACUUUGGGUGCUGGGUCUCAGCCAGCGGGUGGCCCAGUCCAUCAACCUCUGGGCGAACGCCCAGGGCCGCCCACACACCCCCUUGCUGACCGUAACUUCUGGCGGUAUUUCUCAGAGGACAGUCCCACCCAAUGCAGGACAGCCGGCUUUACCACAUCGUAUUUCCUGGCCUGCUCCUCACUCAGGAGCAUUUAAGCCACUUGGGCUUCGCCUGCUAGAUAGGGUGCCCUAUCCCAUCCAGCCCCCAUGGCUACCCUCUUGAAAGUGUGGAGGAAUUCAUCUGGGUCAUCCGCGGGGACCAUCUUCCAUAGUCCUGUGCCCAGAUGCCAUCCUCUGCAGGAGCUUCUGUUGUAUGUUGGCCUGCUCCUGCAGGCUUUUCUGCUGCUCGGCCUGCCAGGUAAGCAAAUCCUGCCUCUCCACCUGGGGGGAUUGCUUCAAGCUUUGCAUAGCCUUCUGCAUCUCCUCCUGCUGCUUUACCAGCCACUGCAGGGGCUCUUCCAUCUCUGGGCCACCAAACUCUCGCGUUGGCUCAGGAUCCUGGACAAGCCCGCACGUGUAACAGGGCAUAGAACGGCCCCCCUUGCUCUGCUCCAAAAACCUCCCACAGACCCUCAAGUUCAGCAAUCACCGGUGCAAUCCCACCACCUUCCCAUCAUAUACAGCAUGGGGGCUUCAGGCUGAAGGACUUCCCAGCCUCUGGAGCCAGGAGAGAAGAGCUCCCAUCCUCCUGGCUUCCCCUCUUGUGUCUGUCCCCCCAAGCUUUUCUGGAGCCCCAGACUAAUCAGGCUGGGAGCUGUUUCAGGAACAGGUUUCUCUAGCCAGCUCCGAUUUACUUCCCUUAAUAGGAGCUGGCGUGACAGAGGGCGGCUCAGCAGUUCGUGCCCAGCCUCCUGUCACGACUCUCCAUGCGAUCUGUAAAGCUGGUAUUGUAUGCGGCAGGCGCAAAACGGACGACACGACGUAUACCAGCACUGACCCAGCUCCCCAGUCAGAAAGGGGAGAUGGCGGCGAGGUCACCCGGGACACUCAUCUCUCCUUCCGGAGCGGGGAGCUGGAUCUAGCGUGUUCCCGCACUUCCAAAAUUAGGGGGGAAAAAAUCAAUAAAAAUGGAAUUAUGGCUUUUGUCAAACCCAGGAAUUUUUCAGUACAAAUGGGACAGGAACGGCCUUCUGGGGGAGACGGGCACCGAAGGGGUGUCUCUGGCUGUGUGGGACACUGCCACUGAGGCUCACUCUGGAUUCUCAGGGCAUUUAGACCCCUCCAGGAAGUCUAUUACUGAGCGUGUUUGUGUCUCAGCAGGGAGUUUAGACAGAGAGGAGCCCCCUUCGAGCAGUCUGAGCAGGACCCGUUAUCUGGGAAUCUGCAGUUACAGGUUUCUGAUGUUAAAUUUCAUGGUUUCGGGUUUUGUGCACACACUAUCUGGUCUUUCAGCUCCAAAUUAAGAAGCAAUCUGUCAGAGAGCAUCGCCAAGGCGAGAAGCCAGCAUGCCUGUGAUAAAUCAUGCACCAUGAACCAGAAGUUUGGGGGCUGCAUGAAGGAUGUAAUAACAGAUGCUGUAGUUUGGCAGAGUCAGCAGCUGUGGGAUGAAUACUAAUGUGAAGCUUCGCUGUGGAGUGUCCCCGCUCUGCGAGGUGCCGGGGCGGGAGAAGGCUGCAGAAGUCCACAGCAAGUUUCCUGCGGUCCAGUGUUUCUAUUACAUCAGCAGAAACAUCGGAGCCGAAGGAAGGGCUUGUGAUGGAGACACAGAGCUGGGAAUCAGGACAUCUGAAUUCGGUUCUCCCACAGCGCCACUGUAUGAUUUUAGAGGAGUCAGUUCCCAUCUCGUUGCCUCUGUUUCCCCCUCUGUAUAACAGGGAUAAUGAUCCUCACCUCACCCAGAAAAAUGGUUUUGAGUUUUAGUUCAUUCAUGUUUGGAAAGUGCUUUGGAGAUCCUUGGCUAGAAGGGGCUGAUGAAGGGCAAAGAAUGAGAGGUGACACCAUGGUGUAAAAGUUUGGGGGAACCAGAAGUGAGAAUGCAGGAGGCUUCUGGCUGGGCAUAGAUGUUACCUAUCAGCUCUGUGUUCUUGGGGAACCAGGAACCUGGUUGGGCUGCAGUAUCCAGCCUGUCUGACUCACAAAAGAUCAUCCCCUUCCCCAGCCUUUGCUUGAACCAAAGCCGAUCAGAAGAAAGACUUACAAAAAGCAAUGAAAAGGCCAUGGGAGACACCCCUAAACCCCUCCGGACAAGGGUGACAGAUUAAGGCAACUCCCCUGGCCUCAUUUGCUUCGGAGGUGGGACAGGGAGGCAUCUCCAUUACCAUACAGAAUGGAGACUUCAAGGCAAGAACCGCCCGGAACUCUGGGACCAGGGAAGCAGUGCAUGAUGGGGGAUCUCUGCACCAGAUGUUAAUGAACCCAUGCCUGAACACACCCAGCUCAGUAGUUAUCAGACCAAUUCUAGUAAUAAACCCUUUAUUGGUAUCCAAAAUACUGAAGCUGCCUAAUUGCAUUGUGAGCUCCCUGGAAGGAACACCACCCAUAGCCAGGAAUGAUCAGUUCCUAUGGUCUAGCCUGAACAAAACAACUUUGGUAUCCUCCCUUGAGCCAUCAGUUUACCCAUAAACAGAUCUAGUGUUCUCGCUUGAACCAUUGUUCUUUCCUUACAAAAACCCCUACCCUGCUCAAGUAAGUGUUCUGAUGCCUGGAUCCAAAAUCUGCAUCUGUUCCACUGGGACUUCAUCUUCUCCUGACUGAUCAUGCUGGGGGCUCUGCCUGUCUCCAGCACUCCAGCCCCUCAGCUACCACCACCACCUGGGACCCCCGAUCGAUUCAAGCUUCGUGGAGUGGUGAGAACCCAGCUCUCUCUCUCUCUAGGCAUAGCCUUCUGACCCUGACUUGUGUGAUCAGUUACAGUUUUCUAAACCUGACUUUUAUAAUCAAAUUUAAGCUGGAUUUAAUAUUAUAACGGUCUUGUUUGUUCGGCUCCCCUCUCGUUAGUACCUGGCAAUAAAUAACUCUCAUGGUUAAGCUGGUUGCUUCUCCGCCCCCGUCCGCCUUCAUGGGGUUUUUUGGUUUCCUCAUUCGCUCUGCAGCAACACUCCUCGUAUCUAAGCUAAAGAUCCCUGCAGCGCCCAAAAACGCUGUGGGGUUUGCUCAUCAAGUGGGUUACGACCAGAACCCUUGUAACGUGAAUGUGAGGACAGGGCCAUGCUAAAUAUGACAUAUGAGGGUGACAGCUUGGAAGUGCUGCUUGACCCAGCCUGCUCAGGCGGGCUGUACUCUGGUGCGGUGCCCACGGCAGAUGAGGGUGACAGCUUAGAGGUGCAGCUCGAUCCAACCUGCUGAGUCCAGGGACAUCUAGGGGGUCAGCUUGGGAGUGCUGAUUAACUCAGUCUUCUCAGACGCGCUCUGUUCAUGUGUGUGUUCGUCUGAUCCUGGGGCCGGAAGAACCCUGCCCUGGGGAACCUAGGUCCUGCAGCAGAGCUCCACUGGGAGGGGGACUUGCAGGAAUAGAGCUCCCUGUGAGGACACAAGUAGUACAUUGACAGAAUUACAGAAACACCCCCCCCCCCAAUAAAUAAGCGAACCCCAAAGUCACAGGCAAAUCUGGUAACACAGGGGCCACAUCAUCAGGAGAAUAAGAGUGGGGAGAGAACAUGUUCCACUCCUCCACCAACCACCACGCAACAGCUGGCUGCAACCAGGCAAAGCAUUCACGGGAGUGAAUAUUUCUGUUGACUCAUUAUUCAGUUCAAUAAACCACAGAACAAAAUCUGAGCUGAUCUGUUCAGAAUGUGUUUUCCCCAUUAGCAAGAAGAAGUUACUCACCCUCGUGCAGUAACAAUGGUUCUUUGAGAUGUGCCUCCCCUAUGGGUGCUCCACUGUAGGAAUGUGUGCGCCCCACACUGCCGAUCGGAGAAUUUCAAUAGUCUGUCCCGCACGUGCGUUACCUCACUCACCACAAGGCUUGCCAGCCUGCGUGGGCAUUUCCCUCCUCCGUUCCUUCUCGACCGCACAGUCAACCAGAGGGAACUGAAGUAAAGGGGAGGAGGGUGGGUCGUGGAGCAUCCACAGGGGGACACAUCUCAAACAAUCAUCGUUAGGGCACAAGGUAUCUUCUUCGUCAAGUAAUGUCCCUAUAAGUGCUCCAAUGUAGGUGACUCCCGAGCAGUAUCCACCACUGGAGGAUGGGACUUCCGAGUCAAGUCUGAUAUAGACGACAGUCCUGUGGCACCAAACUGGGCGUCUGUAGCCGAAUCCCCCAUAGUGCCAUACAAAGGUAUGCACAGAUAGAGAUCUGCAGAGCAGCUAGGUGGGUGACAGGGGGACCUUGGAGAAGGUGAUUGACGAAGAGAUUGACCUCAUGGAAUGUGUGCAUAUUGAAGAUGGGGGUGUUACCCCACACAAUUGGUAGCAGAAUUUAAUACAGCCAGAGACCCACGUGGAGAGCCGCUGAGCUGAGAUCACUACACCCUUUGAUCUAUCUGCAACGGAGAGGAAGAGUUUAAGAGAUUUUCUAAAGGUCUUUGUUCUGUCCAAAUAGAAGGCCAAAGCUUUUUCCACGUCGAGCAUAGGGAGGAUGGCUUCCCUGUUGUCCUCAGGAGGUUUGGGAUAAAAUGGUGGAAGCUGCAUAAGUUGAUUCAUGUGAAAUGCAGAAGACACUUUAGGGGUGAACUUCGGAUGGGGUCUGAGUGUGACUUUGCCAGGGAAGAACACAGUAAAAAGGGGAUGCGCCAUCCAAGCUCGUAUUUCCCCUAUCCUGGCCGAAGCGAUGGCAAUGAGGAACGCUUUCUGAGUUAGUGAACAACAGGCCAUGUCUCAAAUGGCGGUCUAGUCAGUUCUUUUCACAUUAGGUUGAGGUGCUGUUAGGGAGUGGGGGCCUGGGUUGUGGGAAGAGGUUUGCUAUACCUCUUUAUAGUUGGGUGGGAGAGGAUUGAGUAGCCUUCUACCUGCUGGUAGAAGGUUGCAACUGAUGCUAAAUGAACCUUCAGCGAGCUAAUACAGAGAUGUGAUUUCUUUAAGCUUAACAGGUGGUCUAGGACCACCGGUAGGGUGGCUGAAUUAGGGGUGACCCCUUGGGCUGGCACCUCUUCCAUUUCUGAAGGUAGGUAUGACAAGUAGUGCCCUUUCUACUGUGUAACGGCACCUCCUGUUCCUCCUCAGAGCAAGAUGUUUCUGUGUGUCGGAACCAUGAAGGAGCCAUGCUUUGAGUUGCAGGAUCUGCAGAUUGGGGAGGAGGGUGUGACCCUCAUUCUGCGAUAGGAGGUAGAGUCAUCAGCAGACAUCAUCCCAGCUGCGCCAGGACUUUCAGUAAUAGUGGGAACGGGGGAAGGCGUAAAGAAGGCCUUUGUCCCAAGGAAGGAGAGCAUCUACCAUGGAGUGUCGUCCGAUCCCCACCCUGGAGCAGUACUGUGGACAUUUCUUUUUCUGAAGGAGGAGGUGGAAACCCAGAGGGACAAAGGGCUCCCGCCUUAUGCAAAAGAUAUAUAAAGGGUGGAACAGAACAAAGGGGAGAGGAGCCAUCAUGAAGAAUCCCCUAGCUACCACCUGAGCUGGAACAAGAGCUGUACCAGGGGAAAGAAUUGUGCCCAGGCCUGGAAGGUGUCCAGUCUGAGGAAAAAACUUACUGAAGCAUCUCUGAGAGUGAGAUUAUCUGUAUUCAGUUUGAUUAGACAUAGAUUUGCACAUUUUAUUUUAUUUUGCUUGGUGACUUACUUUGUUCUGUCUCUUACUACUUGAAACCACUUAAAUCCUACUGUCUGUAUUUAAUAAACGACUAGGUAAAUUCAUGGAGGAUUAAUGGCUAUUAGCCACGAUGGGCAGGGAUGGUGUCCCUAGCCUCUGUUUGCCAGAAGCUGGGAACGGGUGACAGGGGAUGGAUCACUUGAUGAUUGUCUGUUCAUUCCCUCCGGGGCACCUGGCAUUGGCCACUAUCGGAAGACAGGACACUGGGCUGGAUGGGCCUUUGGUCUGACCCAGUCUGGCCGUUCUUAUGACCUGGGUCUAAGCCAGUCUGGCAACACCUGUGCUCCUCAGUUCAAGCCUGGCAGUUUCCUCAGAGGGACCAACAUCUCCAGGGCUGGGACUGUGAAUUUCAACAUAUUAUGUCUAAAGCAGGUUAACCUUUAGAACUCCUAGUUUCCA